AGGAAAGGCACUACAACAUGUGCCACAGCCGAGCUUGCGCUAUAGUGGAGCGCACCAUCGGCCUGUUUAAGGGCAGAUGGCGCUGCCUCGACUGCACUGGAGGGAGGUUAUUGUACACGCCUGAAAAGGUGUGCCAAAUCAUGCUGGCAUGUGCUGUGCUACACAAUGUGGCACAGCUUAAAUACGUGCCUCUACCCCCUGGCGCCGAUUGCUGUGUUGGCCCCGACCCUGAACCCCAUCCCCACGCAUGUGAGCCAAAUGCUGCUGCUGUGCGCCAGCGUUUGGAAGUGAUGCGUCGCUUGUAAAGAACAACAAAAGGACUGCAUCGGUGAGGACACGUCCACUGCUGGAGGGUUGAGAGCCGCGUGCCGUGGAGACGCUGGGUCCAGACGGCUGCUCAGCUGCAGCAUCGUAACCACUGGCCCCGCUGGAACACCCAGCAACUGAAAUAAAAUUGUUCUAUAUUAAUAAACUGUAAUUGUGUAGCCUGCAUA